GAUGCAGAACUCUUGAAUCCUCCAACACUGUUCCUGCCUAGACACUGCCAUGCUUCCUGCAUUGAUGAUAAUGGACUGAACCUCUGAACCUAUUCUCCUGCAGUGAAGGUGAUCACCAUGAAAUAUUGAUGAUGUUCUUUCAACAUUCCAAAAUUGUUAUGAGACUUUAAAGAAGCCUUUAAAACUGAGACUCUUUCCUGACUAAACAGAUUCCAAGAUGCCUCCCAGGCUAGAACCCAGACAUGUGGGCAGCUGGCCAGCCUCAACAGAUUGGCAAACCAAUGCAGGACUGGGAAAGGGCAGAGGACAUUUGGAAGAAGCACUGCUGGUUUGGAGCUCCAUGGAAGAAGAAAAUAAUUAAGGAAAAUUCG